rnacentral:piRNA from 1 species
UGGAAAUCGGGAUCAUCAGACCGUUUGCCA